rnacentral:rRNA from 1 species
UACGAAGGGGGCUAGCGUUGCUCGGAAUCACUGGGCGUAAAGGGUGCGUAGGCGGGUCUUUUAAGUCAGAGGUGAAAUCCUGGAGCUCAACUCCAGAACUGCCUUUGAUACUGAGGGUCUUGAGUAUGACAGAGGUGAGUGGAACUGCGAGUGUAGAGGUGAAAUUCGUAGAUAUUCGCAAGAACACCAGUGGCGAAGGCGGCUCACUGGGUCAAUAUUGACGCUGAGGUGCGAAAGCGUGGGGAGCAAACAGG